AGGUCCCUGCCAUGCACGUGAUGGUUGGAAAAAUUUUGAGCCAACACCUCUAAAUUGGGAGCCCGCUUUUUAGAUGCGGACUGCAUGCCCCGCAAUACAUGGGGAAGCGCGAAACCUCUAAUAGGGCACCCACUUGGACCUUCGGGUUCAAAGCCUUUCCUACGCACACGGCAUGUAGCGGGGAUUUU
rnacentral:other from 1 species